UACGGGGGGGGCAAGCGUUGUUCGGAAUUACGGGGCGUAAAGGGCUCGUAGGUGGCCAACUAAGUCAGACGUGAAAUCCCUCGGCUUAACCGGGGAACUGCGUCUGAUACUGGAUGGCUUGAGUUUGGGAGAGGGAUGCGGAAUUCCAGGUGUAGCGGUGAAAUGCGUAGAUAUCUGGAGGAACACCGGUGGCGAAGGCGGCCACCUGGACGGUAACUGACGCUGAGACGCGAAAGCGUGGGGAGCAAACAGG
rnacentral:rRNA from 1 species